GCCUGGGUAGCUCAGUCGGUAGAGCAUCAGA
rnacentral:piRNA from 5 species